UACCGCGUGUUCCGUGUUGGGUGAGCCGGUGCAGCCAGAGGGGGGAGGGGAAGGAAGGGAGGGGAAAGUGUAAAGUAGGUAAAGUCCGCUCGAAGAGGCCACCGCUAGCGCUGGCAGUUCGUUUCCCACUGGGUACCUAGACAGGUCCUCUAUCUUCUACUCUCCUUCUCUCUCUCUUCCUUCCUCUACUCCCUCUUUCUCUCUCCUUUCUCCUCUACUUCCAGGUCGGCGCUCGUCCUCUCUCGGUGCCUAGACGCAACCGGAAGCGGCCCCGAACUAGGUGAGGACCCAGGAAGGAGAAGAUGAAGAGGGGUGUAGGUGUCUCAUAUUCAGUACCUCGUACCCUAGCUGCUGCCCCCGAGCUUCGGUCCUCCCGACCGGCUCCUUCUUCCGCUGUUGCACACCCACAGUCUCCAACAGAGAGACCGGUAGCGGAAUAGAGGAAGUGUUGCGUACCACGUCGUCCGACCUGCUCACCGCCCCUGCCGUAAAUUCCGGUGCCUGCGUCGAACCUCUCAACUCGCCUCCAGAACUGCUUUAUAACAGAGAGAGAGGUACGCCGGAGGAGGGGAGCCGGGACAUAAACAGCCACUCCAAAGAGGAACGGCAGCCGUCGUCGCCACUCGUAUCCCCGUCGCCAGCGUCAGCGGACUCCUCGUGUCGCCAUACCCCCGACCAGAACGGGGGCGGUCUCGUCUCGCUUCCCCCAGCUACGUCCCAGUUCCUCCCCGUGCUCGCUCCCAGUACGGCGUGCCCCUCGCGCACCGUAGGUCGCUCUCUUCUGAAGAGGAGAAGGGCACGGCCGCACGUGGGGAGUAGCGGUGGGACGAGUAGGAGGC
rnacentral:rRNA from 1 species